AGACGGAGGGGGCUAGCGUUGUUCGGAAUUACUGGGCGUAAAGCGCGCGUAGGCGGUCCGUUUAGUUAGGCGUGAAAGGCCUGGGCUCAACCCGGGAACUGCGUUUAAAACUGGCGGGCUAGAGUCCGGGAGAGGGUGGCGGAAUUCCCAGUGUAGAGGUGAAAUUCGUAGAUAUUGGGAAGAACACCAGUGGCGAAGGCGGCCACCUGGCCCGGUACUGACGCUGAGGCGCGAAAGCGUGGGGAGCAAACAGGAUUAGAUACCCCGGUAGUCC
rnacentral:rRNA from 1 species